rnacentral:rRNA from 1 species
CACGUAGGGUGCGAGCGUUGUCCGGAAUUAUUGGGCGUAAAGAGCUCGUAGGCGGUGUGUCGCGUCGGCCGUGAAAACCUGUGGCUUAACCAUGGGCUUGCGGUCGAUACGGGCAUCACUAGAGUUCGGCAGGGGAGACUGGAAUUCCUGGUGUAGCGGUGAAAUGCGCAGAUAUCAGGAGGAACACCGGUGGCGAAGGCGGGGUCUCUGGGCCGAUACUGACGCUGGAGGGAGCGAAAGCGUGGGGAGCGAACAGG